AGGAGGCAGCAGUGGGGAAUAUUAGUUAAUGUGCGAAAGCGCGAACUAGCAACGCCGCGUGUGCGAUGAAGGCCUUCGGGUCGUAAAGCACUUUUCUAAGGGAUGAGGAAGGACAGUACCUUAGGAAUAAGCCUCGGCUAACUACGUGCCAGCAGCCGCGGUAAAACGUAGGAGGCGAGCGUUAUCCGGAUUUACUGGGCGUAAAGCGCGUGCAGGCGGUUUGGUAAGUUGGAUGUGAAAGCUCCUGGCUUAACUGGGAGAGGUCGUUCAAUACUGCCAGACUUGAGGAUGGUAGAGGGAGGUGGAAUUCCGGGUGUAGUGGUGAAAUGCGUAGAUAUCCGGAGGAACACCAGUGGCGAAAGCGGCCUCCUGGACCAUUUCUGACGCUCAGACGCGAAAGCUAGGGUAGCAAACGGGAUUAGAUACCCGGGUAGUCCC
rnacentral:rRNA from 1 species